rnacentral:lncRNA from 1 species
CCGACAUCAAGCACUGAGAUUUACCAGCCACACCUAAUUCUGGGAAAGGCCAAAUGAGAAAGGCAUGUCUCUCACACAUGACGCCUCUCUUUAUGUUCUGUACCUGGUGUGUUAGUUUCCUGUGCCUGCCCUAACAAAGCACCACAAACCAGGUCUUUGAGGAAUCACCACACUGUCUUCCACAAUGGUUGAACUAAUUUACUUUCCCACCAACGGUGUAAAAAGGUGAGAAGAACUCUUAAAGGGGUCCAACUGGGCUGAACAAUCUGUAGCCAGAUCACCUAAACCUGCCCCUUGAAUGGUGGUAGGAAAGAGGGAAGAAGUGAACAAGGGGCAGCACAGGGGAACAUGAGCUCAUGCCCCAUUUUUGGAUGCCGUUGGAAAAGAAAGCCAAAUAGCAAGAGGGAGGGGAUGUAAAAUCUUGAUAAAAGAUCUCCAGCUGCAUGGUGCUUUUCAUCAACAAAUGGAUCUGAGGUGCAAUUAGUAAAUGUGAAAGGAUCUCUCAGGACAGCCACAAAAGGGGUUGCUAAGUUUGGAAGCUUCUCUGAGUACCUCGCACAUGCAUCUCCAAGAGCAUAGAUCUUCUGCUACACGACAGGGCCAGGGCCAGGACACCACUUUCAGCUCCAGGCAAUUGCACUGAGGACUCAGUGACACAACCGUGUGAAGUGCCUGCUUCCCCUUCGCCUUCUGCCAUGAUUGGAAGCUUCCUGAGGCCUCUACAGAAGCAGAAGCCGCUAUGCUUCCUGUACAGCUUGCAGAACUAUGAGCCAAUUAAACCUCUUUUCUUUAUUAAUUACCCAGUCUCAGGUAUUUCUUUAGAGCAGUGUGAGAAUGGAUUAAUACACCCAUUCUAAGCCA